GAUGAACGCUGGCGGCGUGCCUAAUACAUGCAAGUCGAGCGAACGGACGAGAAGCUUGCUUCUCUGAUGUUAGCGGCGGACGGGUGAGUAACACGUGGAUAACCUACCUAUAAGACUGGGAUAACUUCGGGAAACCGGAGCUAAUACCGGAUAAUAUUUUGAACCGCAUGGUUCAAAAGUGAAAGACGGUCUUGCUGUCACUUAUAGAUGGAUCCGCGCUGCAUUAGCUAGUUGGUAAGGUAACGGCUUACCAAGGCAACGAUGCAUAGCCGACCUGAGAGGGUGAGCGGCCACACUGGAACUGAGACACGGUCCAGACUCCUACGGGAGGCAGCAGUAGGGAAUCUUCCGCAAUGGGCGAAAGCCUGACGGAGCAACGCCGCGGGAGUGAUGAAGGUCUUCGGAUCGUAAAACUCUGUUAUUAGGGAAGAACAUAUGUGUAAGUAACUGUGCACAUCUUGACGGUACCUAAUCAGAAAGCCACGGCUAACUACGUGC
rnacentral:rRNA from 1 species